ACUCCUACGGGAGGCAGCAGUGGGGAAUAUUGGACAAUGGGGGCAACCCUGAUCCAGCCAUGCCGCGUGUGUGAAGAAGGCCUUUUGGUUGUAAAGCACUUUAAGCAGUGAAGAAGACUCCAUGGUUAAUACCCAUGGACGAUGACAUUAGCUGCAGAAUAAGCACCGGCUAACUCUGUGCCAGCAGCCGCGGUAAUACAGAGGGGUGCAAGCGUUAAUCGGAAUUACUGGGGCGUAAAGCGAGCGUAGGUGGCUUGAUAAGUCAGAUGUGAAAGCCCCGGGCUUAACCUGGGAACGGCAUCUGAUACUGUUAGGCUAGAGUAGGUGAGAGGAAGGUAGAAUUCCAGGUGUAGCGGUGAAAUGCGUAGAGAUCUGGAGGAAUACCGAUGGCGAAGGCAGCCUUCUGGCAUCAUACUGACACUGAGGUUCGAAAGCGUGGGUAGCAAACAGGAUUAGAUACCCUGGUAGCGACUGA
rnacentral:rRNA from 1 species